rnacentral:rRNA from 1 species
UACGUAGGGUGCAAGCGUUAAUCGGAAUACUGGGCGUAAAGCGUGCGCAGGCGGUUGUGCAAGACAGAUGUGAAAUCCCCGGGCUUAACCUGGGAAUUGCAUUUGUGACCUGCACGGCUAGAGUGUGUCAGAGGGGGGUAGAAUUCCACGUGUAGUAGUGAAACGCGUUGAUAUCGUUUGGAACACCAAUAUGCGUAGGCAGGCUUCUGGGUGCCACUUGACACUGCUAGGACGAAAGCGUGGGGAGCGAAUGGG